UUUUUGAAGAGUUUGAUCCUGGCUCAGGAUGAACGCUGGCGGCGUGCCUAAUACAUGCAAGUCGAGCGGUAAGGCUCCUGCAGUUUAUUUGAUUACGGUGGCUACAAAGUCAUCAGAACAAUCCGAAUCAACCCCGGCUAGGGAAGAGACGGAGAGGGAAAAUCGAAUGAAGUGCUGGAGUACACGAGCGGCGGACGGCUGAGUAACACGUAGGAACGUACCCCAAACUGAGGGAUAAGCACCAGAAAUGGUGUCUAAUACCGCAUGUGCUCUAAGGAGUAAAGCUUCGGCGGUUUGGGAACGGCCUGCGCACGAUUAGAUUGUUGGUGAGGUAAUGGCUCACCAAGUCGAUGAUCGUUAGCUGGUCUGAGAGGAUGAUCAGCCAGACUGGGACUGAGAACGGCCCAGACUCCUACGGGAGGCAGCAGUAGGGAAUUUUCCACAAUGGACGAAAGUCUGAUGGAGCAACGCCGCGUGCAGGAUGAAGGCUCUAGGGUCGUAAACUGCUUUUAUCUGUGACGAAUAUGACGGUAGCAGAUGAAUAAGGAUCGGCUAACUCCGUGCCAGCAGCCGCGGUCAUACGGAGGAUCCAAGCGUUAUCCGGAAUUACUGGGCGUAAAGAGUUGCGUAGGUGGCAGAGUAUGUCUGUAGUGAAAGCGUGUGGCUCAACCAUAUAUACAUUACAGAAACUGCUCAGCUAGAGGGCGAGAGAGGUUACUAGAAUUCCUAGUGUAGGAGUGAAAUCCGUAGAUAUUAGGAGGAAUACCGAUGGCGUAGGCAGGUAACUGGCUCGUCCCUGACACUAAGGCACGAAAGCGUGGGUAGCAAACGGGAUUAGAUACCCCGGUAGUCCACGCCGUAAACUAUGGAUGCUAGCUGUAAGAGGUAUCGACCCCUCUUGUAGCGAAGCUAACGCGUUAAGCAUCCCGCCUGUGGAGUACGGUCGCAAGACUAAAACAUAAAGGAAUUGACGGGGACCCGCACAAGCGGUGGAGCGUGUUGUUUAAUUCGAUGGUAAACGAAGAACCUUACCCAGGCUUGACAUCCUGCGAAUUUCUCCGAAAGGAGAGAGUGCUUUAUUGAGCGCAGUGACAGGUGUUGCAUGGCCGUCGUCAGCUCGUGUCGUGAGAUGUUUGGUUAAGUCCAUCAACGAGCGCAACCCUUAUAGUCUGUUGUAUUUUUCAGGCUAGACUGCCCCGGUAACGGGGAGGAAGGAGGGGAUGAUGUCAGGUCAGUAUUACCCUUACAUCUGGGGCUACAAACACGCUACAAUGGCCGGUACAAAGGGCAGCCAAAGCGCAAGCUGGAGCAAAUCCCAUCAAAGCCGGUCCCAGUUCAGAUUGCAGGCUGAAACUCGCCUGCAUGAAGUCGGAAUCGCUAGUAACGGUAGGUCAGCUAUACUACCGUGAAUACGUUCCCGGGUCUUGUACACACCGCCCGUCAAACCAUGAAAGUCACCAAUACCUGACGUGUUGCCUUCGCGCAGCCCUAAGGUAGGGGGGAUGAUUGGGGUUAAGUCGUAACAAGGUAUCCGUACGGGAACGUGCGGAUGGAUUACCUCCUUU
rnacentral:rRNA from 1 species